AGUGAACGCUGGCGGUAGCCCUAACACAUGCAAGUCUAACGGCAUCACAGUAACACCUUGCUUUGAUGGGUGGCGAGCGGCGCACGGUUGAGGAAUCCAUCGUAAUCUACUUUUUCGUGUGGUAUAACGUAGGGAAUCUUACGCUAAUACCUCAGACGACCUUCGGUUGAAAGCUGGGGAUCUUCGGACCUUCCACGAUUGAAUGAGUCGAUCCCCGAUGGGCUGGUUGGCGGGGGAAAUGCCCACCAAGGCUACGAUCCCUAACUGGUCUUAGAGGAUGAUCAGGCCCACUGGAAGUGGGCCUCGGUCCAGACUACUAUGGCAGGCAGCAGUGAGGAAUAUUGGACAGUGGGUGCAAACCUGAUCCAGCCAUACCGCGUGGAUGACGAAGGCCUUCGGGUUGUAAAGCCCUUUUGUUGGGACAGAAAAGCAGCAGGUUAAUACCUCGCUGUGCUGACGGUACCCAAAGAAUAAGCACGCGCUAACUUCGUG
rnacentral:rRNA from 1 species